CAGUAGUUAAGAAUACUUCCUACGAUGUUC
rnacentral:piRNA from 1 species